AGACGAACCGGCCAAACGUUAUUCGGAAUUAUUGGGCUUAAAGGGUGCGUAGGCGGCGCGGUCAGUCGGGUGUGAAAUCCCUCGGCUCAACCGAGGAACUGCGCCCGAUACUACCGUGCUUGAGGGAGACAGAGGCGAGCGGAACUGAUGGUGGAGCGGUGAAAUGCGUUGAUAUCAUCAGGAACACCAGUGGCGAAAGCGGCUCGCUGGGUCUCUUCUGACGCUGAGGCACGAAAGCUAGGGUAGCGAACAGGAUUAGAAACCCCGGUAGUCC
rnacentral:rRNA from 1 species